UCUGUAGUUCAACGGAUAGAACGUCGGUUUCCUAAACCGUAGAUAAGGGUUCGAUUCCCUUCGG
rnacentral:tRNA from 1 species